rnacentral:tRNA from 1 species
GGGGUUGUGGCUCAGUGGUAGAGUGCUUGCAUAGCACACAUGAGGCAUUGAGUUCAAACCUCAGCACCCCA